CCUGCACUGCACUGCCAUGCAUAAAACCUUAUUCUCUGCAGGCUUCGUUUUGUUGAAGAAGGUGGUCGUACGUAUAGGCCUAGUGAGUACGUAGCUUAGCUACCAAUGAGACCUGGUGGAGGUCCCGGAGGACCUCCUGGACCGCCUCCCGGACCGCCUGGUUUCGGAGGACCUCCCGGACCGCCUGGUUUCGGAGGACCUCCCGGACCGCCUGGUCCGCAUCCUCUCUUCGGUGGCUUUUGUGAUUUCAUUGGUGCAUGGUACGUAUAUAUGUAUGUAAAUCUACAUCUUAACUCGUCUCAUUCCCUCUCUCUAAAUGACCAUUUUGUUUAUGGGAGUUUUGCAGUGUGAGUUUUCUGUGUUGCUGCUGGUUAUUGCAAGACUGCUUUGGUGGGCCACCACUAGGGCCUCCAGCACCCUUUGGGCCACCUGCACCAGGGCCUCCCGCACCCUUUGGCCCACCUGCACCAGGGCCUCCUGCUCCCUUUGGCCCACCUGGCCCCCCCGGUCCAGCUGGCCCGCCUGGACCACCACCUCCAUGAGAUCAUCAAGCAGGCUUGAGUUUCCAGAAAUCUGUUGUGUUGCAUACGCAGCAUAUACAGUAGUAGCAGGAACGUGUACAAUAUCUUUGAAUUAGAAAUAGAGUUGUAAUUCCGACUAAAUUCCGAGUCCAAAUAAUUGAUGAUCAUUUA
rnacentral:lncRNA from 1 species